rnacentral:rRNA from 1 species
GCGGCGUGCUUAACACAUGCAAGUCGAUCGGUAACGCGGGGGCAACCCUGGCGACGAGAGGCGGACGGGUGAGGAACGCUUGGGAAUCUGCCUAUCAGCGGGGGACAACACGGGGAAACUCGUGCUAAUACCGCAUACGCCCUACGGAGGAAAGCCGGGGACCGCAAGGCCUGGCACUGAUAGAUGAGCCCAAGCCGGAUUAGCUAGUUGGCGGGGUAACGGCCCACCAAGGCGACGAUCCGUAGAUGGUCGGAGAGGAUGAUCAGCCACACUGGGACUGAGACACGGCCCAGACUCCUACGGGAGGCAGCAGUGGGGAAUAUUGGACAAUGGGCGAAAGCCUGAUCCAGCCAUGCCGCGUGAGUGAUGAAGGCCCUAGGGUUGUAAGGCUCUUUCGGCGGGGACGAUAAUGACGGUACCCGCAGAAGAAGCCCCGGCUAACUUCGUGCCAGCAGCCGCCGUAAUAC